rnacentral:snRNA from 1 species
GUGCUCAGUUCAACAGCACAUACACAUAAAUAAAUUGGAAUGAUACAGAGAUCAGCAUGGCGCCUGCGCAAGGAUAACACACAAAUUCAUGAGGCAUGCCAUUAUUUU